GAUGAACGCUAGCUACAGGCCUAAUACAUGCAAGUCGAGGGGACACGGCAUCGGAUGCUUGCUCUUGUUGUGCGUCCACCCGGGCAAGUGAGAGUUACGUGUACUCAAUCUGCGCAUCACUUGAGUAUAACAUUGCGAAAGUAAGACCAAUUCAUAAUGUCAUCCCACUAAGUCAUACGUAUGGGACUAACGUUCUAUCGGUGAUGGAUGGGGAUGCGUUUGAUUAGCUUGUUGGUGGGGUGACGGCCCACCAAGGCAACGAUCAGUAGCGGUUAUGAGAGGAAGGCCCACCACAGUGGAGCUGAGACACGGACCAAACUCGGACGGGAGGCAGCAGUGUGGAAUAUUAGGGAAUGGGCGAGAGCCUGAACCAGCCAAGUAGCGUGCAGGAUGACGCCCCUAUGGGUUGUAAACUGCUUUUAAAAGAGAAUAAAGUGGGUCACGUGUGACUUUUUGCAUGUACCUUAUGAAUAAGGACCGGCUAAUUCCGUG
rnacentral:rRNA from 1 species